GGUGGCUCAGUGGUAGAGUGCUUGCCUCUCAUGCAAGUGGCGCUGUGUUCAAUUCCUCAGCACCA
rnacentral:tRNA from 1 species